rnacentral:rRNA from 1 species
GACGAACGCUGGCGGCGUGCCUAAUACAUGCAAGUAGAACGCUGAAGAGAGGAGCUUGCUCUCCUUGGAUGAGUUGCGAACGGGUGAGUAACGCGUAGGUAACCUGCCUUGUAGCGGGGGAUAACUAUUGGAAACGAUAGCUAAUACCGCAUAACAAUGGAUGACACAUGUCAUUUAUUUGAAAGGGGCAAUUGCUCCACUACAAGAUGGACCUGCGUUGUAUUAGCUAGUAGGUGAGGUAAUGGCUCACCUAGGCGACGAUACAUAGCCGACCUGAGAGGGUGAUCGGCCACACUGGGACUGAGACACGGCCCAGACUCCUACGGGAGGCAGCAGUAGGGAAUCAUCGGCAAUGGGGGCAACCCUGACCGAGCAACGCCGCGUGAGUGAAGAAGGUUUUCGGAUCGGAAAGCUCUGUUGUAAGUCAAGAACGGGUGUGAGAGUGGAAAGUUCACACUGUGACGGUAGCUUACCAGAAAGGGACGGCUAACUACGUG